AAGAUUAUACUUCACAGAAUCAUUUCUGUAGUAUAUCUUCCUUUCUCUCUACUCAACAGUAGAAUAGAAAAUACCACGAGGAUGAGAUGUAAUCCUCUGUCCUGAGCGUGAGGCAGACGCUGGGAGCCUUCAUUUGGCUUCCACGUCAUCGAUGAUCGUUCACUGUUCCUUCGGGAUCAGGAAGGGAUAGAGGAUACUCUGAGUGGC